rnacentral:lncRNA from 10 species
UAGGAGGGAAACUAUGCUGUGUCCCGCGCUCGUUAACCCUAUGCUUCUGACUGGUGCAUGUUUGAGAUGAGUCUGGACUUCCUGGGACCUGUCCGCCUUGGCUGAGCUGGGGGCGCUGAAGGGAUGACCACUCUUUGGCAAGUUACUGACCAUUCCCGGAAUCUAGGUUCUUCACAGGGGAUGUAGCACCAAGGCGCCAUCUUGGAAGCAGAGAGACCAGGUCCUCUGUAGCCAGCACCUUGAUAUGGAACUUCCCAGCCUCCAGAGAUGUAAGAAGCUGUCUUUUACAGAUGACCCCAUCGCAGGUAUUUUGUUAUAGUAGCACAAAUGGACGAAGACACCCCUCAUUGUCAUAAAUGCUGCAACUUCUACAUCAACAGUGAUGUUCUAAUCUAUAAAUGAAGACAGAAUCAAAAGCAACCAAUAGGCCUCUUUGCAAAUAAACUUUUGGUAGCUGUUUAAAAUCACCACAAACAACAGAAACCCUUCUUCUCUUGCCUUUGCUGAUUGAAAAAUUGUUGGCCAGGCACAGUGGCUCAUGCCUGUAAUCCCAGCACUUUGGGAGGCCGAGGCGGGCAGAUCAGUUGAGGCCAGGAGUUUGAGAACAGCCUGGCCAACAUGGCGAAACCCCA